rnacentral:ribozyme from 13 species
ACUCGACUAGACGAGUAUAAACUACAUUAAGCCUAGUGCGUUAUAGCCGUAAAUAAGAAGUAAACGGCUAUAGGUUGUA